rnacentral:misc_RNA from 1 species
UCGAACCCUGCAAAGCAGAAMAACCCGUGAACAUGUAAUUACAACUAGGCAAAUUAGGGAUUGAGCUUUUGUUUGAUCCUCAGUUGCCUUGUCGAUGUGCGUCUGAGAGUCCUUAGGGAUGACAGGAUGUUACAUUGACAUACUAACCAACCCCGGCACGGAAUGUGCCAAGGAAAUUAAAACUUAAGGAAUGGAAGGUUUCAUGAUGUCCCGUUUUGCGGUGAACUAUUGAAACUUUACUUCUUUGUAAUCACAAAYGACUCUCGGCAACGGAUAUCUCGGCUCACGCAUCGAUGAAGAACGUAGCAAAAUGCGAUACUUGGUGUGAAUUGCAGAAUCCCGUGAACCAUCGAGUUUUUGAACGCAAGUUGCGCCCGAAGCCAUUUGGUUGAGGGCACGUCUGCCUGRGCGUCACGCAUCGUGUCGCCCCCUACCACU